ACAAUUCCACUGGAAUAUAGCGAAGAAUGCAGCUGGGCUCCCAUCUUUGUGAGACAGUCAAAUUUCAAGUUACCUGCUGAUCCGUCCACUCCUAUUAUCAUGAUUGGUCCUGGGACAGGGCUGGCUCCUUUUAGAGGCUUCUUGCAGGAAAGGUUAGCAUUGAAACAAUCUGGGGCAGAAUUGGGCACUUCAAUCCUUUUCUUUGGAUGCAGGAACCGUAAUAUGGACUACAUAUAUGAAGAUGAGUUGCAAACUUUCCUUGAGGAGGGGGCGCUUUCUAGGUGAGU